CCGGGCUCCGAGCUGUCAGCAUGGAGCCCGAUGGGGGGCUCGAACCCACAAACCGUGAGAUCAUGACCUGAGCCAAAGUCAGAUGCUUAACCCACUGAGACACCCAGGCGCCCCGUGAGUGACUAGUUUUGACUUCAGUUGUUUCCAUCAGAGGAUUAAAAUAAGAAAAGGUCUUCCAGUGUCAGGUCCCCACACUCUCUAGAAAGGAGCUCCUGUGUUGGCGCUUUACCUUAGCUGAGGGAUCUUCCUUAUUUGGCUUCAUCUUCCCUUGGUAGCUGAGACGUACAGCCUUUUGCCUGGUGUUGGUGCAUUAGACAACGCCUCAAAAUGGGGUAAUUGUUGCCUCAUUAGUCAUCUGGCUGCGUAGACGUUGCAUUGGCUGCUGAGAGGUUGUGAAGACUUUGAUCUUUCUAGAGACCCUGGGAGAGGUCAGCUGCACUUCAGGGCAUCGUGAGCAACACAUACGGUGGAGAACUGUACUGGGUAAAGAAAGGUCCAAAUUCUCUAGCAUCUCAAACGAGACGUGAAACCACCUGGAAUAUCUCUCACCAAGUUUACCAACAGAGUUUUAAGAGGAGAAUUGGAGUCUUCCUGUCAGAAAUGGUAUUGUCUUCAUCAGGUUCAUGAGCUUACUUGAGACACUCCACCUGGACAAGCUGGCAGCACAAUCACGUUUGAAAAAUGAUCGAAAUGGAAGUAAAUUUAAUUACAGCCAUUCUAGCUAGAGCCAAGAUACAUGGAGCAUGACAUACUGUGUCUUUUCAGUUGGCCCAUGUGUCCUGCAGGGUGAAGACAGUCAACCAGAUUUAUUGAAUGCCUGUUGCUUCAUCCAUUAAUUUCUAACGUGAAUAGUUUUUGAAAACAUCGUAUGUACCGGACGUUGCUUUUGCCACAGUUGCUGUGAUGGAGCGUAAAGCAGGGGCGCUGACAUUGUUGGGACUGGAGGUGGGCAUCUGGGAAGACUUUCUGGAAGAAGAGAUAUUCACUCUAAAACCUAUAAAAUAAAAAAAUAAUAAUAAUGAAUUGGAAGAAAGCCAAGUAAGAAGAGUUGAGGAGGUGGGUACAGAGGGAAUUAGGUUCCAGACAAGCAGCAGGUGAAAGGGAUCCUUGUGUAUUUAAGCAACUAAAAUAACCCCAGCGGAGCUAAGGAAUGGAGUGAGAGGGGGUGUGUGUUGUUGAGACUGGGUCUUGGUUGUGGAGGUCCAGGAUGCCUUGUUUGGAUUCUAUCCAAAGGGCAGAUAACAUGUUUAAGCAUGGAUGAUAGGACUGUAUUUGGGUUAUAUCACUACAGCUGUAGUGUUUGUAACAGGGCAGAAGGGGGCCGCACAGAAGUCAGGAAGACCUUGUAGGCUACUGCAUGAACUCUCACGCGCUCGGGUGGUGGCUUAGACUCCUUGGUGGCAGUGGGAGGAGACAAGUGGAAUGCACUAGAGACACGAGCUUGAGUUUGGCAGGGUGUAUGUAAUAGGGCUGUGGGGGUGAAGGAGGGACCGUGAAAGAGGCAGUCCAGGACUGUAGGGUGGGCUUCUUGGAUAGAUGGUGGUGCCUCUCGCUGAGACAGGAGCGGGAGCGCUGUUGGAGACUCUAAGGGCCUCACCUUGACAGGUGGUUCACCGCCAUCCAAGUGAUUGGAACCUUGGGAAAAGAGGCUUGGGUUGGAAGUGUUGAUGGUCAUUGGGAAGGCGUGAGGUCACAGAAGCAGAGCAGGAAGACACCACUGUAGGCCUGAGCCCCAUGGGACAACAGUGCACACCCCCAGACAGGGGAAGAAAUGUCUUUCUGAAAGAGCAUGGUUAAAUGAGAAUGUGUGUAAACCAUCAAGUUUGGGCCCAUCCUUUCUAAUUGUAUUUAUGUUUUCCUUCUUUCCUCAGUUUGUUCUCCUCAUUUUGAUACUGUACAGGCAAGAAUGUGUCCAUAAUAAGGUUGAUCAGCAUUAGAACAAAUACAGUGUGAGAGGGAAGGUUCUUU